rnacentral:rRNA from 1 species
CUGCAGCCCGAGUGGUGGUCGAUAUUAUUGAGCCUAAAGCGUCCGUAGCCGGACUAGUAAAUUCUUGGGUAAAUCGGGCAGCUUAACUGUCCGACUUCCGAGGAGACUGCUAGUCUUGGGACUGGGAGAGGUCAGAGGUACUCCAGGGGUAGGGGCUAAAUCCUGUAAUCCUUGGGGGACCACCAGUGGCGAAGGCGUCUGACUAGAACGGAUCCGACGGUAAGGGACGAAGCCCUGGGGCGCAAACCGGAUUAGAUACCAGAGUAGUCC